rnacentral:tRNA from 1 species
GGGGAUUUAGCUCAGUGGUAUAAGCACCUGCCUUACAAGCAGGCGGUUGUGAGUUCAAUCCCUG